rnacentral:misc_RNA from 1 species
AACGGCUUGUUGGAACUGGAAAUAUUAGAUAAAGAAAGAGUAGAGAAUGAACUAAAAAGUUGCUUGAGAGAGUGUAUUGAGCUAAGGCAGUUGAAUUCUCGACUUACCCAAGAGCUAAAUGAUUUAAAUGAGAGAUUAGAAGCUGAUGCAGUGAAUCAGCAAACAAUAAUUGAGCUUAAGAGAAAGAAUUGUGAAUUAGAAUGUGCUAAGUUGAAAGCUGAGACGGAGGCAGAGAUUUAUAAGAGGAG